rnacentral:rRNA from 2 species
CCAACUCAGAGAUAAGUAUUCUAUCAUUGAUAAGUCACCUUGGAGACUACGAGGUUGAUAGGUUGGGGGUGUAAGGGCUGUGAAGUCUUUAGCUGACCAAUACUAAUAUGACGAACACUUAACCUAA